rnacentral:rRNA from 1 species
UACGAAGGGGGCUAGCGUUGCUCGGAAUCACUGGGCGUAAAGGGCGCGUAGGCGGUUCGUACAGUCAGACGUGAAAUUCCUGGGCUCAACCUGGGGGCUGCGUUUGAUACGUGCGGACUUGAGUGCGGAAGAGGGUCGUGGAAUUCCCAGUGUAGAGGUGAAAUUCGUAGAUAUUGGGAAGAACACCGGUGGCGAAGGCGGCGACCUGGUCCGAUACUGACGCUGAGGCGCGAAAAGCGUGGGGGAGCAAACAGG